rnacentral:rRNA from 1 species
UACGUAGGGUGCGAGCGUUAAUCGGAAUUACUGGGCGUAAAGCGUGCGCAGGCGGCGCGUUAAGACAGGUGUGAAAGCCCCCGAGCUUAACUUUGGGGAAUUGCGCUUGUGACUGGCGUGCUGGAGUGUGGCAGAGGGAGGUGGAAUUCCACGUGUAGCAGUGAAAUGCGUAGAGAUGCGGAGGAACACCGAUGGCGAAGGCAGCCCCCCUGGGCUAGCACUGACGCCUCAGGCACGAAAGCGUGGGGAGCAAACAGG